GCCGGGAUGGCGGAAUUGGUAGACGCACGGGACUCAAAAUCCCGCGAAGGUGACUUCAUGGGGGUUCGAUUCCCCCUCCCGGCACCA
rnacentral:tRNA from 1 species